rnacentral:rRNA from 1 species
UCAACCUGGUUGAUCCUGCCAGUAGUCAUAUGUUUGUCUCAAAGAUUUAGCCAUGCAUGUUAUAGAAUAAGCUCUUGAAAGGCGAAUCUGCGAAUGGCUCAUUAAAACAGUUAUAAUCUACAUGAUAAUUGAGGGUAAGAUUUUUAAACAUCUUGUUCUUUAGGAUAACCGUGGUAAUUCUAGUGCUAAUACUG